rnacentral:tRNA from 1 species
GAGGGUAUAGCUCCGCGGUAGAGUGUCUGCGUAGCAUGCAUGAGGUCCUGGGUUCAAUCCCCAGUACCUCCA